UAGGUAGAACUAUUUUUUCCGAAUUAUUAUUUAAAGUUAGGAUAAAGAUACUGGUUGUGAGAGACUUUUCAAUGAUAACUAGUAAAAUACCUAAUCUGAGCAUGGAUUUGUAUCAUCUGGCGGUUGGCUGAUGACAUCAAAGAUGGCGAUAUCUCUGAGUCGCGGUAAGUUGGAACGCACGACUGUGGGUAGAGAAUUGUUUCCUUGCAACUUGGAGGCUUUGUAAAUGGACUGGAGAUUGCGGUCAACCCAAUAGACAUCGCUCAUAUGAAUUGCAAUACCCAUGGGGUUCGCGAGCUCUUUCGGUGCAUCCGUGGUUGUUUUGACCAAGACUUUCCUGUUCGAACCAUCCAGCCAGCAGACCUCCAGGUAGUUUUCGUGAGGGAAGACGUUAGUGAAAUACAAAUUGCCAGCAAUCCAAUCGACAGCAAUACCUCGGAUACCAUUUGAGCCCACUCCUUCUUUGAUAACACGGUUGGAGCAUAUUAAAAGGUACAUUAAUAUUUGACGAUCAAACAAACAAUGGUGUCAGGACAGGUUCAAACAAGCGAUAAAAAAACCAACUUACCUGGUCCAGCAAUGGGUGUCAUGGCCUCUGAAGAAUCUUUCAAACUGAAACCUCUGCUAAUGUCAAGUUGCGAUACGAUAGCAAAAGUACUGUAAGGCGAGCAGGUGAUAUCAGCAUCUUUCUUGUAGCCGAUUGAACAUAGACAAGUCCUUGUUCCACUCUCCGCAGGUAUGCACAUCUGAUUACAACCACCAUUGUUCGUCAAACAGGGGUGUCCCAUUUCUGAAAUAAGACAGCCGUUGACUUUACAGUUAAAUGUAAAACAAAUAGUUUGGGUGAAAAAAUUGAUACAUGUUAAACUAAACUUGCCUCGUU
rnacentral:lncRNA from 1 species